UUUUGUAGAAUGUAAAAUUAUUAGUAAGGAUAAAUGGAUAGGAGUUGAUUCGGUGUCAUAAUGAUACUAAUUAAGUUUAACUAUUAAUAGUUUUACUCAGUUUACUUAGAGUUGUGGGUUAGAUGACAGGUAUACAACAGGCUCAUUUAAACUAGUUGUGUAUUAUGAAAAAUUUGGAAAAGGAAACUAGUAUCACAACUCAUUUUGGUACGUCUUGUUCGCAAAUGGAGGCUCAUUACUCUCUCAUAUUUUUUAUAAACGAGUUGAGUUGUAUCAUCUUUCAAAUGUUUUAUUUAACUUUAUUAAUUCUUUGCUAAUACAAAAAAUAAACAUAGAUCAAUGAAGAUGCAAAAGUUCUUACUUGUUACAUCAGUUAUUAGUUCUUCC
rnacentral:lncRNA from 1 species